rnacentral:lncRNA from 1 species
ACUUGUUUAUAGCUAUAGUUGUGUGUAUAGUUCUUUGCCCUGAGGUGUAUUGGCAGUUCAUCUUGAGGGUGGUGUAGUUUGACUACACCAUAACUCGAUCUCUUAGCCAUAUGAAGCUUUGAGAUGUAUAUUGGCUGUAGUAUAUUUAUUAUAGGAAUUAUGUUGCACCAAGAUGGGAUCUAUCGAUCUCGAUAGAGGAGUAGUCCUAUGUAAAUCAUG